rnacentral:rRNA from 1 species
AUUGAACGCUGGCGGCAUGCCUUACACAUGCAAGUCGAACGGUAACAGGUCUUCGGAUGCUGACGAGUGGCGAACGGGUGAGUAAUACAUCGGAACGUGCCUAGUAGUGGGGGAUAACUACUCGAAAGGGUGGCUAAUACCGCAUGAGAUCUACGGAUGAAAGCAGGGGAUCGCAAGACCUUGUGCUACUAGAGCGGCCGAUGGCAGAUUAGGUAGUUGGUGGGAUAAAAGCUUACCAAGCCGACGAUCUGUAGCUGGUCUGAGAGGACGAUCAGCCACACUGGGACUGAGACACGGCCCAGACUCCUACGGGAGGCAGCAGUGGGGAAUUUUGGACAAUGGGCGCAAGCCUGAUCCAGCAAUGCCGCGUGCAGGAUGAAGGCCUUCGGGUUGUAAACUGCUCUUGUACGGAACGAAAAGCCCUGGGUUAAUACCCUGGGGUCAUGACGGUACCGUAAGAAUAAGCACCGGCUAACUCCGUUCCAGCCGCCGCGGUAAAAC